rnacentral:rRNA from 1 species
UACGGAGGGUGCGAGCGUUGUUCGGAAUCACUGGGCGUAAAGCGCGUGUAGGCGGCCCACUAAGUCUGAUGUGAAAGCCCGGGGCUCACCCCCGGAAGUGCAUUGGAAACUGGUGGACUCGAGUCCCGGAGAGGAGAGUGGAAUUCCUGGUGUAGCGGUGAAAUGCGUAGAUAUCAGGAGGAACACCGGUGGCGAAGGCGGCUCACUGGGGCUUUUCUGACGCUGAGGAACGAAAGCCAGGGUAGCGAACGGG